rnacentral:rRNA from 1 species
UACGAAGGGGGCUAGCGUUGCUCGGAAUUACUGGGCGUAAAGGGUGCGUAGGUGGUCCGUUAAGUUCGUUGUGAAAGCCCUGGGCUCAACCCAGGAACUGCUUCGAAUACUGGCGGACUUGAGGCUAGUAUGGGUCACUGGAACUGACGGUGGAGCGGUGAAAUGCGUAGAUAUCGUCAGGAACGCCAAUGGUGAAGACAGGUGACUGGGCUAGAUCUGACACUGAGGCACGAAAGCGUGGGGAGCGAACGGG